rnacentral:sRNA from 1 species
UAAACAGCUCAGCAGACCAAAAUCCUCUGUUUAGCCCUAGAACAGCUACAGACUGAGAAGCAGCAGUGCAAGCUUCCUCCCAUCGUCCCUCACUAGUCUCUGUCCUGGAAGGACCAUCUCUGGGGGCAAGAAGGUAAUUGAUUCUUGGUGUCCAUUCACUCCUUGGUCACU